CCCUUAGAUGUUCUGGGCCGCACGCGUGCUACACUGAGUGGAUCAGCGGGUCAGGUUGCGCGAAAGUGUUUCCUAAUCUUGAAAUCCGCUCGUGAUGGGGAUUGACGGUUGCAAUUUUCCGUCAUGAACGAGGAAUACCUUGUAAGCGCGGGUCAUCAUCCCGCGCUGAAUACGUCCCUGCCCUUUGUACACACCCCCCGUCGCUCCUACCGAUUGAGUGGUCCGGUGAGGCUUUGGGAUCUGAGCGGAAAGAGCGUUUCGCUGUUUCUGCUCGGAAAACUCAGUCGAACCUUAUCAUUUAGAGGAAGGAGAAGUCGUAACA
rnacentral:rRNA from 1 species